rnacentral:rRNA from 1 species
AUUGAACGCUGGCGGCAGGCUUAACACAUGCAAGUCGAGCGGAGAUGAGGUGCUUGCACCUUAUCUUAGCGGCGGACGGGUGAGUAAUGCUUAGGAAUCUGCCUAUUAGUGGGGGACAACAUUCCGAAAGGAAUGCUAAUACCGCAUACGUCCUACGGGAGAAAGCAGGGGAUCUUCGGACCUUGCGCUAAUAGAUGAGCCUAAGUCGGAUUAGCUAGUUGGUGGGGUAAAGGCCUACCAAGGCGACGAUCUGUAGCGGGUCUGAGAGGAUGAUCGACCACACUGUGACUGAGACACGGACCAGAUUCCUACGGGAGGCAGCAGUGGGGAAUAUGGGACAAUGGGGGGAACCCUGAUCCCGCCAUGCCGCGUGUGUGAAGAAGGCCUUAUGGUUGUAAAGCACUUUAAGCGAGGAGGAGGCUACUGAGACUAAUACUCUUGGAUAGUGGACGUUACUCGCAGAAUAAGCACCGGCUAACUCUGUGCCAGCCGCCGCCGUAACAC